GCCCUAGUAACGGCGAGUGAAGCGGCAACAGCUCAAAUUUGAAAUCUGGCGCAAGCCCGAGUUGUAAUUUGUAGAGGAUGCUUCUGGCCAGCGGCCGUUCUAAGUUCCUUGGAACAGGACGUCAUAGAGGGUGAGAAUCCCGUAUGUGACCGGCGCGCAGCCUUUACGUAGCUCCUUCGACGAGUCGAGUUGUUUGGGAAUGCAGCUCUAAAUGGGAGGUAAAUUUCUUCUAAAGCUAAAUACCGGCCAGAGACCGAUAGCGCACAAGUAGAGUGAUCGAAAGAUGAAAAGCACUUUGGAAAGAGAGUUAAAAAGCACGUGAAAUUGUUGAAAGGGAAGCGCUUGCAACCAGACUUCGUAGCGGUGUUCCGCCGGUCUUCUGACCGGUCUACUCAUCGUCGCGAGGCCAACAUCGUCUGGGACCGCUGGAUAAGACCUAAGGAAUGUAGCUUCCCUCGGGAAGUGUUAUAGCCUGUGGUGAUGCAGCGCGUCUCGGGCGAGGUCCGCGCUUCGGCAAGGAUGUUGGCGUAAUGGUUGUCAGCGGCCCGUCUUGAAACACGGACCAAGGAGUCUAACAUCUAUGCGAGUGUUCGGGUGUCAAACCCCUACGCGUAAUGAAAGUGAACGGAGGUGGGAAGCGCAAGCUGCACCAUCGACCGAUCCUGAUGUCCUCGGAUGGAUUUGAGUAAGAGCAUAGCUGUUGGGACCCGAAAGAUGGUGAACUAUGCCUGAAUAGG
rnacentral:rRNA from 1 species